UGGCGGCGUGCUUAACACAUGCAAGUCGAACGGAAAGGCCCUGCUUUUGUGGGGUGCUCGAGUGGCGAACGGGUGAGUAACACGUGAGUAACCUGCCCUUGACUUUGGGAUAACUUCAGGAAACUGGGGCUAAUACCGGAUAGGAGCUCCUGCUGCAUGGUGGGGGUUGGAAAGUUUCGGCGGUUGGGGAUGGACUCGCGGCUUAUCAGCUUGUUGGUGGGGUAGUGGCUUACCAAGGCUUUGACGGGUAGCCGGCCUGAGAGGGUGACCGGCCACAUUGGGACUGAGAUACGGCCCAGACUCCUACGGGAGGCAGCAGUGGGGAAUAUUGCACAAUGGGCGGAAGCCUGAUGCAGCAACGCCGCGUGCGGGAUGACGGCCUUCGGGUUGUAAACCGCUUUCGCCUGUGACGAAGCGUGAGUGACGGUAAUGGGUAAAGAAGCACCGGCUAACUACGUGCCAGCAGCCGCGGUGAUACGUAGGGUGCGAGCGUUGUCCGGAUUUAUUGGGCGUAAAGGGCUCGUAGGUGGUUGAUCGCGUCGGAAGUGUAAUCUUGGGGCUUAACCCUGAGCGUGCUUUCGAUACGGGUUGACUUGAGGAAGGUAGGGGAGAAUGGAAUUCCUGGUGGAGCGGUGGAAUGCGCAGAUAUCAGGAGGAACACCAGUGGCGAAGGCGGUUCUCUGGGCCUUUCCUGACGCUGAGGAGCGAAAGCGUGGGGAGCGAACAGGCUUAGAUACCCUGGUAGUCCACGCUGUAAACGGUGGGUACUAGGUGUGGGGUCCAUUCCACGGGUUCCGUGCCGUAGCUAACGCUUUAAGUACCCCGCCUGGGGAGUACGGCCGCAAGGCUAAAACUCAAAGGAAUUGACGGGGCCCCGCACAAGCGGCGGAGCAUGCGGAUUAAUUCGAUGCAACGCGUAGAACCUUACCUGGGUUUGACAUGGAUCGGGAGCGCUCAGAGAUGGGUGUGCCUCUUUUGGGGUCGGUUCACAGGUGGUGCAUGGCUGUCGUCAGCUCGUGUCGUGAGAUGUUGGGUUAAGUCCCGCAACGAGCGCAACCCUUGUUCACUGUUGCCAGCACGUUAUGGUGGGGACUCAGUGGAGACCGCCGGGGUCAACUCGGAGGAAGGUGGGGAUGACGUCAAGUCAUCAUGCCCCUUAUGUCCAGGGCUUCACGCAUGCUACAAUGGCUGGUACAGAGAGUGGCGAGCCUGUGAGGGUGAGCGAAUCUCGGAAAGCCGGUCUCAGUUCGGAUUGGGGUCUGCAACUCGACCUCAUGAAGUCGGAGUCGCUAGUAAUCGCAGAUCAGCAACGCUGCGGUGAAUACGUUCCCGGGGCUUGUACACACCGCCCGUCAAGUCAUGAAAGUUGGUAACACCCGAAGCCGGUGGCCUAACCGUUGUGGGGGAGCCGUCGAAGGUGGGACUGGUGAUUAGG
rnacentral:rRNA from 1 species